CCUACGGGUGGCUGCAGUGAGGAAUAUUGGUCAAUGGGCGUAAGCCUGAACCAGCCAAGUCGCGUGAGGGAUGAAGGUUCUAUGGAUCGUAAACCUCUUUUAUAAGGGAAUAAAGUGUGGGACGUGUCCUAUUUUGUAUGUACCUUAUGAAUAAGGAUCGGCUAACUCCGUGCCAGCAGCCGCGGUAAUACGGAGGAUCCGAGCGUUAUCCGGAUUUAUUGGGUUUAAAGGGUGCGUAGGCGGCCUUUUAAGUCAGCGGUGAAAGUCUGUGGCUCAACCAUAGAAUUGCCGUUGAAACUGGGGGGCUUGAGUAUGUGUGAGGCAGGCGGAAUGCGUGGUGGAGCGGGGAAAUGCUGAGAUAUCACGCAGAACCCCGAGUGCGAGGGCAGCCUGCCAAGCCAUGACUGACGCUGAUGCACGAAAGCGUGGGGAUCAAACAGGAUUAGAUACCCUUGUAGUC
rnacentral:rRNA from 1 species